UUCCGAAAAACAUAUAGGUAUUUUGCAUGUGUGUUCAACAGAUUUGCUGCUUCCCUGUUCGACCAAUUUCAUCACCUAACUUUUAAAGCUAUCAACUGCCCAUCUUAAUAACACUUGCAAAUCUGUGGCAAACAUAUGAGAAGCCGCUCCUAAAAUGGAGAUAUUGAAAUGGGUCCCAACCAAGAGAGGGAAAAAUUGGUGCCAACCAAUUCUAUGUUCCAAUACUAUCAGCUUACUAUGUUCCAAACGCUUCCUGAUUGUGUACAAUACCAAAUAUGCAAAUGUCUGAAAAAAGAAAGAGAGAAUAAGGAGAAAAAAAAUAAAAUCAAAUCAAACCUGAUAAUUCAAACCUAAACAGCUACGCGAUUUUCAAUGGAAGCCUGUGCAUAGAUAAUCUUUUCAUCUUGCCAUAGUCUAGAGAAAGGGUCUAUCAGCAAGGCUUGAUUUCAAAUCCAAUGCUUAGAAGAGUUCGGGCUGAUUCCAUUGCUUUCUCCUUCUCACCUCCGAGGUCUAAGGUUUCACUGGUUAAUUCACCUUCCUUUCCCACUGACCAUUGGGUUGAUGUUACUUGGUUCUGGAAUGUAUCAGUUUUCUUGAGUUGCAAAUUGUUCAUAGAAGCAGGAGCAGCAGCAGCAACAAGGGGAGCACUUGGCGGACCAUGUCGCUUUUUUGGUACAGGCAUGCCAUGGUCAUGCACUCCCUUGUAUGUUAUCGUGACAGCAUUUGUGUUAUCUACCGCUGUUUCAAUGUGCUUACGAACAGGGCAUCCAGCAGAUGUGCAUCGAUAAUAGUUCCUGCAUAUUUGCUUGAGCAAUAAAUAAAAACAACAGAAUGACACACAGGGUGGAUUGAAUUUGGGAGUGAUUCAGAUCAAGGAAUGAGCAAGUAAAGCUUAUAAAAUGAUUGUGCUUCUGUAAAAUACUUCCUUACUUCGAAGAUGUUAAGAUUCCAUUAGGUCAAAUAUGGAAAAAAAGAAUUCUGACACAAUAUAACCUUCCUUUUAUUUGAUAAAGUUUAAGGGUUCUUAAUAUUAACAAUAAAAAAAUAAUAAGUUUUCUUAUCUACCUACUUUGAUUUCAUCAUUGCAGAACCAUAUGCCCAAUACUCUUGCAUGUGACCUCAAGUUGGUUAUAUUACUUGCAUGGAACAAGAAUCACCACUUUACUAGGAAUACUUGAUAGAAUUGUAUUUAACUCGUUACCCUUCCAAGAACCAGAAGAUUGACGUGCAAAGGUCAUGCUGCAAUCACAAAGGAGACAAUACUAUCUCCACUGUUCAUCAUCCAAAAAUCACGAGGUACUUGAGUUAGUUGCAGGCAGCAGGACACUCGUCAACACUCAUUUGAACUAAUAUAAUGAAAGCCAAUCUUUCAGAAUUAUUUGAGACAAUUCCUCUCUAAAAGCUAGCUCACAAGAAAUGACCCAAACCAUAGAGACUACUUCAAUUCAGACACCUUCACCCAGCCAGAAGAACAACUUGGCAUAAAUCAUCUUGGUACCUCGAAAGAGAUGACAUUAUUCUCCACUUCUCACCAUCCAUAAGGCACCAGGGCUUCGGUUCCCUAUGGGACACUCACCAACAUUCACUUCAUCUGUUAAAGGGAAUAAUGUCCUUGAAGGGAAUAGCAUCUAUGGUGCAUGUCAUAACAACAGAUAAAAAUACAUAAUCUAACCUCUUUUCUCUCUUUGUUUCCCCUUUUCUAAUAAGGUUGGAAUGGCCAAGACUACCAAUUGAGUUCAUCUUAAAAAAUUGUAUUAGAAAAUGGACCAUGAAUCAUCUCCUUUGCCUCCUUGUGUCAGCAGAUAGUCAAGAAAGGGAACUCAUCCCCAAGCACUCAAAAUGCCAGGCACCCUUUUAUGCUCCCUUCAACACCCCCUCUCCCAUGGCCUCUCUUUCUACAUAGAAAAAUCAAAACAAAAAGCAAAGGACCAUGCACAUAAAACAUAUAGAACCACUAACUUUCUACAUCACCACAACAUACAAAUCCCGUGAUGAAGCAAUCAAAAGGGUGGGGAUAUAAAAUAUUGGGCAUACAAAAAUUUUCUUCUAACAAUCAUGAAAUAUGCCAUAACAAUUUAGAUCAAAUUGUAUUACAAGUGCUUUAGUCAAAGUCCAAAUUGCAAAAUAAAACACUGGUUUAAAUACACAUCCAAAGAAUAUGACUUCAAUGACAUGAGUUUGUAUCCGAAGAAAAUAGGAAGAAGGGGGAACGGGAGAAAGAACAUUGCACAAAUGAAGAUGAUAAAUCAACAUUCAUCCGCUACGAUGAAUAAAAAAGAAGCACAAACCAUAAUUAAGAAACUACAACUUUGCAAUUCAUGGUUACAGUACAUCUUAAACAGCAUUAUGGCAUGUUAAAUGUCUAAUAGUCUGUCAGGUCAACGAAUAAAUGCAGAAAUAAACAUGCACCUGGGAUGGGGAUUUCCCUUCACCAUUUUUUGUCCAUAUUUGCGCCAUCUGUACCCAUCACCUGAGAUUCCCACAUCACCUGCUGCAUGCACAACAAAUUUUGGCUUCUUUCCAGGUUUUAGGAUAGUACCUGAACAUUCUAAGUUCUCCUUCUUCACUCUUCGUUUUGGUUCAGGCUCACUGACAUGCUCCUCUUUGAUUUGAAUUCUCCCAUUCCCAUCAGAGCCACUUGAACUCUGCCGUUUUUUGUCAGGAAUCAUGGGUGUUUCCUGCAUAGAUUCUUUCGGCAAUGUGGCCUGAUCCAAAUCCUUAAGUACAUUAACAGAAUGUUCUGUUAAACUAUUGCUCAAAACAGGCCCAGAUGAUAAUGCAACCUUGAUUUCCCUGGUGUGCUUAUUCUUUCGAGGUGGAUCAUGACUGUGCGUUCCUUUAUUAACAAUCUCGAUCACAUGGCCUGAAUGAUCUGCGCAUUCAAUCUUUUUGGCACAACAGUCAGAAAAUGUGCACUUGUAAUAACUUCGAGAACCUUUAGGACUCUUCACUUGCUUCUGACCAUAUUUUCGCCAGUUGUAACCAUCAAGAAUACGUGUUUUAAUGGGAACAGAAAGAAUUUUAAGAUCGGAAGAAUUUUGUUGAUCUGCUUCUUGUGUAGAUACAUUAUUAAUCUUUGAUGGUGACAUUCUUGGUUCUGGUAGAGUUGGACUUGGAGCAGAUGAUAUCGAUUGUGUAACAGAAGUUGGUGAAAGUUCUGACAAGGAAGCUGGGCACUGAGAAGGUUGAAGCUCAUUUUGGGUCUGAGAUGCAACACCUUGGGUUGUUACACUUCCCAAAACUUCUUUGCCCUUGAUUUCAGCUUCCACAUGCGUUUCCAAAGCUGAAUUAUCCCGCGAACCUACACACUGAACGUUCUCCGAUACUAUAUCCGUGGAAGGUGCGGCCACUGAGGCUUCCGAUUGCGACUCUCUCAACUCCUCCAAACGAGAGGUCGAUAACUCGACGAGUUGGGAAUCAGCUAGUUGUUUUAACUCAAUGAGUUGACUCUCUUCUUCUUCCUCGUCUUCUUCUUCUUCUUCCUCUUCUCCGUCGUCUUCUAAUUCUCCUUCUUCUAGUUCUAAAUUGUUGUCGUUUUGUUCCUUACU
rnacentral:misc_RNA from 1 species